UUGUAUUUAAACUUUUUUGUCUCCCCCCCCCCCUCCCCCCCCCAAGUUGGGCCGAAAAAUCAAGGGGCAAAAAAUUAUUUUUUUCAAAAAACUUCAAUAUUUUAAUGCAAAUUUAAGUGCAAUGAGCUGAAAUCACUUUAAAAUGCAUUCCCUUGCGUUCAGAAUCAUGUUAAGCAUGUUCGGGUUAAUUUUUUUAUAUAAAAUUUCGUUUAUUUAUGCUUUUAUCUUAAAAUUAGGGUGAAUUUUAUAUUCUAAAUUAGAAAAAAAACUAAGUUUGCCAAUAGUGAAUUUAAUAACCUAAAUUUGAAAAGUUAAUAAAAAAAAUUCUUGAAUUUUUGAAAAUUUUCGAUCUUUAGUAUCGCAAAAUGGUUUUUUUUUUUCGUUGAAAUUUUUGAAGAUUACAUUACAUUUUUGGAAGACUAAUGAUUGUAAAACAACUUAAGUAGUGUAAAAUGCAUUUUAAAACACUUUUCGCAUUCAAAUGUUGAGAGUAUGGCUUGUUAAAUUUAUAUCAUGUUGGCAAAAUACUAUUACUCGUGAAAAAAGUAUCGAUUUUUAUUAUAUGAUGCGACCACCUGUUCCGAUUGUUUGUCAACAAAGCUGCAGCUGGAUAGUGAGACGAGUUGGGGGGGGGGGGGGAGGUUUUGAGAUUUGUAAUCCCGUAUCUGACCCGCCGCCUAUUUCGUCGGUUGUUUCCAAUGACAGAGUCCAGUUAGGAACUGAUCAUACAAUACUUCGUAAACAAUAUAUGAGCGAUUGUCGAGAAACACAUAUUAUUUGAAUUUCAUCGCUUUAGCAAAAACAUUAUGAAUCAAGGGUGUAUCCCAUUUGGCAUAAAGCCAUUUGGCAUAAUGCCGUUUGGCAUAACGCCGUUUGGCAUAAUGCCGUUUGGCAUAAUGGACGUUUGGCAUAGCGGUCAUUUGGCAUAAUGGCCAUUUGGCAUAAUGGUCAUUUGGCAUAAUGAUAUUAAAUUUUCAAAAUUAUGUCAAUUCCAUAGACUGGGAUCAAUCGGCACUACAGUUUGAAUGAGGACAGCAGUUUUUAGUACAUUUUAAAAGCUUAACAUUUAGAAAACGAUGCACUUUUUUGAAUGUUAUAGAAUUUAUAACACUUCUUCAGUUCUUCAGGCAGCUUGCUUGCCCACUGAGAAUUUUGGCUCGAGCCAUGAGUCGAUCUGGUUCGAGAUCGAGCCCGAAUCGAGUCGAGGCUCAAGCAAAAUUCUCAGUGGGUGGUUACAUGAGAGUAGGCUGCCUCAAUAUUUUCUGCAGUAGCAGCAAGUGCUGGCCGAAGAGCUUAAAGAAAAAGUUGAAGUUUUCAGCGGUGGUGUUAUAAAAUCUGUAACAUUCUUAAUAUUUGACGGAUCUUGGCACACUCUUCGGUUCCUUGGUUGUUCCUGGGUUGCUCCCUGGAACACGAACUAUGAGGUCAAAUUCAAUAAUCAAUAAGGGACUAAAAACUCAAAACCAAAACGCACCGAUUAUACGGGUUUAAAUCCCAUUUAAAUUUCAAAGUCAAAGCGCCAGGUCCUGUCACAAUCAAUCAAGCUCAUAUUUGGGAUUCGGGCUUUGUGCAUCUAGGGAAUCAUGACCUGAAAUGAACGCAAAAUUCGCUCAUUUUGUUACAUCCUACCAAUAUAUACUCAUUCAUAUUACAGGGUAAAUAUUAAUUGAAUAUUUUAUCAGCAAGUGGCGCUACUUCCAUUCAAAUAUACACAAAACUGAGAUUUUUAUUUGAAAUGUAAACACGAAUGUAAAGCAUUCCACUUUGUCAUAUACGUAGAAACAUAUUCACCGUCUUCAGCUUUGGAUCUAACCCAAAAAAGCUGCGGGUCAUUUUUUUCUGAACUUUCAACUGCUGACUCAAGGUUUAUAUUUCCUUUAAAGAAGGGGACACUUUGUAGACUUGUGACAACUGCUGACAAAAGUUGAAUUUUCUUCAUUAAAAAGGGAAUAAUGCGCUUCAGCGGUGGUCACAACUCAAGCGAGUUUUCCCUUCCUUUAAAAAUAUUCACCUAUAUCAGCAGUCAAGGAGUUUUCCCUUCUUUAAAGAAGGGAAAAUUCAACUUGUAUCAGCAGUCAAGAGAUUUUUCCCUUCUUUAAAGAAGGGAAAGUUCAACUCAUGUUAGUAGUUAUCUCAAAUCAAAGAAAGUUUUCACUUCUCAAAGAAAGGUAAAUUCAACUUGUGUCAGCAGUCAAGAAAAUUUUCCCUUCUUGACUGGAGAGAAAAUUCAAACAUAUAGGGAUAAUUCAACUCGUGUUAGUAGUUAUCACAAGUACAGAUAAUUUUCCAUUAUUUAAAGAAGAAAAAUUCAACUUGUGUCAGUAGUCAUCACAAGUCAGUGAGUUUUUUUUUCCUUCUACUACUAACACGAGUUGAAUUAUCCCUAUAUGUUUGAAUUUUCUCUCCAUUAAAGAAGGGAAAAUUUUCUUGACUUGUGAUAACUGCUGACACAAGUUGAAUUUACAUUUCUUCAAAGAAGCAAAAACUUUCUUUGAUUUGAGAUAACUACUAACAUGAGUUGAAUUUUCCUUUCUUAAAAGAAGGGAAAACUCUCUUGACUGCUGAUAUGGGUGAAUAUUUUUUGAAAAGAAGGGAAAACUCGCUUGAGUUGUGACCACAAUUGAAGCCCAUUUUCCCCUGUUUAAUGAAGAAAAUUCAGUUUUAGAAGGAAAAUUCAAAAUUUUUUAACACAGAAAAUAAAUGAUGGUAAUAUUCAUCAGGAAAUGGUGCCAGAUUUUGAGUAAAAAAAAAAGAUUAAUUUUACAUCAGAAAUUGGUAAAUAUUCAUCAGUUUCUGAUAAAUAUUCAUCAGGUUCACAUGUUUAAAAAAAAAAUUAGGUAAUAUUACUCAAAAAGAGGUGAUAUUCAACCAACCAAAUUUUCAACUUUCCAAAAUUCAACUUUGAUUCUGUGCAGUUGUCGCAAGCUUAGAAAGUGUCCCUUUCUUUAAAGGAAGUAUUUACCUUCAUAAAUGUCGAACAUAUUUGGCUCAAUCUAGGGGUCAAUGGCUUAAAAUAGCCCUGGGAACAAUAUUCAGCAUGUGGAGCAACGUUUUGAACAAACGUUUCAAGUUCUGGGCACCCAUACACAGAAAAAAAAUGAUGGUAAUAUUCAUCAGGAAAUGGUGACAGAUUUUGUGUCGAAAAAAAUGUCUAAUAUUACAUCAGGAAUUGAUGAAUAUUCAUCAGUUUUUGAUGAAUAUUCAUCAGGUUCACAUUUUUACACAUUUUUUAUGUAAUAUUACUCAAAAAAGCGGGAAUAUUCAACCUACCAAAUUUUCAACCUUCCAAAAUUAAUUUUUUUUUGCUGUGUAGCCAGCAGUUUUUAAAUAAUCUUAAGGAAAGAAAAAAAUCAGCUUUCGCCGGCAGUUAUCACAACCUCCCUGUUUGAAAAAUGUCGCACGUCGUACGAGCUGUCGCGCGGUUUUGAUUUUACCGUUUCGAUAUCGAUUGGUCGAAAGGACGACAAACGGACGACAAACACUCGACAUGCCCGACAUUGUUUUUUCCAUCGAUUUUCCUUCAAUUUGACGUCACGAUUUUCAUCGACGCAGUUUGACAGUUCUCUUCAGUUGGUCUUGCUUGGACUUGAUCAAAUCAGAGAAACUUUGAACCGAAUCGAACCAGUUUACGUUGUUGAAAAGUUUCGUGUGGAUUUUGGCCGGUUGAUUGAUUUCCUGAUUUCGGCCUUCGUGGUGGAGGUGGAGGAGAACGGGUCACAUCGUUGCUCCGGCGGGCCAUGCCGGAAGACGGGAAGGGGAGCACCCAGUCUGUGAUCGAGGAAGCGGAUUGGUGUUUAUUGGGAGGUGGCGAUGCGUGGUUUUUAUACGGUAACCAAAAAUAUUCCAAUCGAAUCCUGCUGACAACCCAGCGUUUCCGUAUUGUCCCACGGAACGGAAGCUGUAACGAUUGCAAAAACACCUGCACUGGAAGUGCGUAAACCAACGUUGUCCCGUAGGCCAUCAAUCUGUGGGAAUUAAAUGGAAGCGCCGCUCCAGUGCCGUAUCUACACGCUGGUGUCGACUCCAAAAGACGGCUGACAAAGUCCGGCCAAGAUGCCGAAGCGACGAGAUGAGCUGAAAGGCCAACCGGAAGACAACGCCAAAAACCACGUGAAGAUCGCGACACACAACAAGAAAAAUUAAUGAAUGUUUGUGAAAUCGAGUGAAAAAGAUUAAUUAACAGAAAAAAUACAUCUAAAAAUAAUUUAAAAUAUUUUUUCUUGUAUUUUUACUGCAACAUAACCUAAAAAACAGCACACGACAAAGGCACGACAACCUAAAUAACAAAACCGUGCGACGUCGGUCGAAUGUCGUACGACAAUGUCGAACAAUUUCGAUGAUCGAUCGCACGACAAAUACGACAUUUUGGUGCAAAAACGUAUGACAUUCGUGCGAAAGUCGCACGACAUUGUCGUGCGACGUCGUACGAUUGCACGGACGACAAACGACGGACGUCCGACGGACUUUUCAGUCAGGGCUAAUAUGGUCUUCUUAAAGCAAUUCCAUUAUUAACUUUAUUUUGAAAUACUAACAUCAUUAUGCCAAAUGACCAUUAUGCCAAAUGGCCAUUAUGCCAAAUGACCGUUAUGCCAAACGUCCAUUAUGCCAAACGGCAUUAUGCCAAACGGCGUUAUGCCAAACGGCAUUAUGCCAAAUGGCAUUAUGCCAAAUGGGAUACACCCAUGAAUCAAUAUCGUGACAUGAAAUUUAAUUUUAUAAAAAAUACGUAUUUUCAACAAGCACCUACAAUGCAAAAAUAUCGAAAAAAGGUAUGAAUAAAUCGUGGAAGAGGGGGGGG